UACGAAGGGGGCUAGCGUUGCUCGGAAUCACUGGGCGUAAAGCGCACGUAGGCGGAUUGCUAAGUCAGGGGUGAAAUCCCGGGGCUCAACCCCGGAACUGCCUUUGAUACUGGGUGUCUUGAGUGUGGUAGAGGUGAGUGGAAUUGCGAGUGUAGAGGUGAAAUUCGUAGAUAUUCGCAGGAACACCAGUGGCGAAGGCGGCUCACUGGACCACAACUGACGCUGAGGUGCGAAAGCGUGGGGAGCAAACAGG
rnacentral:rRNA from 1 species